GUGAGGAAUAUUGGACAAUGGGCGCAAGCCUGAUCCAGCCAUGUCGCGUGCAGGAAGACGCAUCUAUGGUGUGUAAACUGCUUUUGUACGGGAAGAAACACUCCCUCGUGAGGGAGCUUGACGGUACCGUAAGAAUAAGGAUCGGCUAACUCCGUGCCAGCAGCCGCGGUAAUACGGAGGAUCCAAGCGUUAUCCGGAAUCAUUGGGUUUAAAGGGUCCGUAGGCGGUUUAAUAAGUCAGUGGUGAAAGCCCAUCGCUCAACGAUGGAACGGCCAUUGAUACUGUUAGACUUGAAUUACAAGGAAGUAACUAGAAUAUGUAGUGUAGCGGUGAAAUGCUUAGAUAUUACAUGGAAUACCAAUUGCGAAGGCAGGUUACUACUUGUGGAUUGACGCUGAUGGACGAAAGCGUGGGGAGCGAACAGGAUUAGAAACCCGGGUAGUCC
rnacentral:rRNA from 1 species